CCUACGGGAGGCAGCAGUCGAGAAUCAUUCACAAUGGGGGAAACCCUGAUGGUGCGACGCCGCGUGGGGGAAUGAAGGUCUUCGGAUUGUAAACCCCUGUCAUGGGGGAGCAAAUUAAAAAGAUAGUACCACAAGAGGAAGAGACGGCUAACUCUGUGCCAGCAGCCGCGGUAAGACAGAGGGCUCAAGCGUUGUUCGGAAUCACUGGGCGUAAAGCGUGCGUAGGCUGUUUCGUAAGUCGGGUGUGAAAGGCGCGGGCUCAACCCGCGGACGGCACAUGAUACUGCGAGACUAGUGUAAUGGAGGGGUAACUGGAAUUCUCGGUGUAGCAGUGAAAUGCGUAGAUAUCGGGAGGAACACUCGUGGCGAAGGCGGGUUCCUGGACAUUAACUGACGCUGAGGCACGAAGGCCAGGGGAGCGAAAGGGAUUAGAUACCCUGGUAGUC
rnacentral:rRNA from 1 species